GCCGGCAGCAGCAGGCCGCUGCCAGGAGGGAAUGCGGGGGCGAUGAGAGGUGGCAGGUGCUGCUCCCAGGGGGGCCGGUGCUGGGCGCCAGGAAUGGGUGGAGGAAAGGACACUGCCGUGAAAGUAGACAAGGAGGCACCGGGGUUCAUGGGGACAUCCGUUCCCAGCACUGCAGAUGCUGUUGAGGCAAAGGAAAGGAGUGAAUGGAGGAGGAGAAUGGGCAAGUGGGACUGAGGCUUUCUGCGGCAUCAGAGUGUAAAUCACAGAUGAGAGACACUUGGACAGGGGAAACUGCAGCGGGCAAAUAUCUUCAAGUGAUUUUCAUGCCCUGACCUCCAGUUGAGAAUUAUUCCACUGGUGACCCCACGCCCAUCCACCAAGCUCCCUGACCCCUGCCUGCCAAGAAGAAAUUGCCUCAGCAAGAACUCACUUGGAGAGCCUCCCUAAGGCACACCCUGGCACCUAAGCCUCACAGGCUGUCUCCCAAGACCUGGAGCUGUGUGGACAUCCGCUCUGUGAGAAAUGCCCCUCGGCCGGCGUACUAGCAGGUAGGGGCCUUCUGCAAGCUCCCAAUAACGGAGAGACAAUCUGAGAUGCAGGCAUAAGCCAGAUGCCAUGGUGAUCAAGUUGUCUGAAACACAUCCCCGUUCAGGAGAACAAGGUACACACCACGGUGCACCUAACGAACCAGAACAGAUGUCAUAGGACGUUUAACAGUAACACAGAAGAUCAUCUGCCUGAUCCUGGGCUACACUCCUUCCCCCUUGAAAAGAGGAAGCAGCCUUCAUAGACAUUCCACCCGAACCAACCCCACUCCACAUCUGUUCCCUGUCCAUGAAGGAGUGACAUGAAAUAGGAACAAACUCUUCCUCUCAAGGCAGCCUGAGGGUCCACCAUGAGAUACUGGACAAGAUGAAGUAGGUCUGAAGUACUGCCAUUCCACAAAAGGAAGAACAAUUCAGAGCAACUCAGAACCUGAGCCCUCUGUUGCCUGAAGUUACACGUAACGGUUGCCCAUCCCCUGUUGAAUCCAAGGCAACAGUUACCUGAACUGAGAAGUGAGCUCUGGGCUGGGAGGAGUGGACCAGGUGUGGGCUGCGGCAGUUAGAGUAACCCCCUGCCUAGCUCUCGGAGAGGACACUUCACUGCAGCUCUGGCCACACACAGCCCCAUUGAAUAGUUUUCUCACCAAGACCAUCUCUCCCCACGGCCCCCUGAGAUACAGUAUGCUCCUGUUUAAAUCCCUUUGAAAGAUAUGGUGAGGCAAGCUUCAGGUGCCUCAGGAACACAAUACAGCUCUAGGCUUUCCUCAUGACCCUCCCUGUGUCACCACCAGGACAUCACACACAUCCUUACACACACGUUUCAAAGUGGCUUGUCUCCCUUCUAGAAAGAAUCAAACUGUCUGCUGCCAUCCUUUCUCCAUAGCCAGGGCAAUUCCUCUUGAUCCACCUCCAACGACCCCUCCUCCCCAGGGCAGUCUCAGGUUUCUUCAGGCUCCCCAGUCUCCCCAGGUGAAAUGUCCUUUGUGCGUCCAGUGCUCUCUUCUCCCUCUACUUCAGUCCAACUAUGUGCCCACAGUUAAGUGUAACGUGUGAACCCGAAGGAUGUGAGGAUGGCAGGGUCUCUGAGAACACACCCCCAGCCUAUAGGCUUACCUCCUAUUGAAGCCAUCCUGCAGGCUUGGGCACGGACUACUGCUGCCUGGAAGCCUCAAUGAGAAAAGUCAAGACCAGGAGCCAGAGAGCGACCUGCUUCAGCAAACGCUCGGGAUCCAAGUCAACGAGGGACACGUUUGAAAGAUGAACUGACCCUUUUAUUCACUAUUCUACAUCAAGCUGCAAACCCAUCAGAGGGAACCAUGUGAUCACUGUAGCCACCAGCUGACCCCACAGCCACCUUGUGCCUCCCUUGGAGCCACCCAAGCAUUUCUGCGCCUUCUUUAUGGUGCAUUUUAAAAAGAUGGCAGAGAUGAGAGUUCCUGAGAAGACCAGAAAGGACAUUUGCAUCUCAAAGAUACAGGCA